rnacentral:lncRNA from 1 species
AGACACGAAAACAAUUUAGAGAAUUGAGGACUAUCUUUGAGAGAUUUCUCUUUGCAUUCUCAUUUUUUGAUUUUUAAUUAGAGACAGAAAGAAAAAAAAGAAUUUCAAAGCUGCUUCUUUUUUCAUUCUUUUACUGGUUUUUGCUCGAGUUCUAUUGGGAUUUUUAGUAGACUACUGGCUCUUCUGUUCUGGAAUUGCUAGGUUUCUUUUCUUGUUUGUCACACUGCAUUUCACUUAUUUCUCUUGCUCUUGCUGAUUUCAUGUUGCUGCACUUGCUCUUGUUGCUGAGUUCUUCCCAAAUUAAGAGACUUAUUUUCUUAAACCUCAACUUUGCUAUUUCUUUUCAGGUACUAGCCUCAACCUUGAAAUGUAAAUAAUGUUUAAUAGGCAUAUGCCAUGAGUUGAUUGAAGUCUAUAUACAUCCCUGAAUAUUUCUUUGUUAUUACAAUGAAAUCUGAAUUUUUUUAGUCCAUCUGCUGUUAUCGAUUGAAUCUGCUAUCAAAAUAUGUUCUGGCACAAGAAGAAUGUUAUGAGUUUGUUUGAAGUGUAUGAUUUAGCUAAUAUCUAAAUAUGCUGUGGUUUAAAUAACAUAUUUUAAAAUGUCCAGGUUCCAUGUUUUGUUGAAAAAGAGUGAAGUUCAGAUAUUCUGCAAAUUAAGUUACUUUUGUUGUUGUUUACUUAGCCAUGAACUAAAUAUUUGUAUCCUUGUAUGCUAAAAAGACACUCAUUAUUUUGUAUUGGACAAUUUGACUUUAUGAAUUCAAUUUUGAGCAAAGUAAUGCAAGUAGAAUUAUUCAUAUCUGCCUAUGAUUUUAAAAUCACGCAGCUAUUUAUUGAAAAGACGUUUCGCUAUAAAAUAGUGAUAAUUAUGACUACAUGAACCCGUUCGGUGAAUUAUAAUCGUUUAAUAUGUAUCAACAGUGAGGAAGAAAAACAAAUUAGUUAGUAUCUUUUUCCUUCUGCCUAUGUUCAAUUGUUUGAAUUUUUGUAAAAGCUGAAUUGACAGCUUGCCUUCUUGAGGAAAAGAUAAUCUUGUUCUAUCCUUGAAUUGAGCAACAAUGUUGAAUGCUAGCAAAGUCUUGUUUUUGUAUCAUACAAUCUGCAAACGUCGAACUCGAAAUGUGUCACCUUUUCUCCUUGAUGAAUCUGAUUAUUUGCAUAGACAAGAUAUUUAGUAGCACUUGUAUCCAAAAGUUCUACUAUGAAGCACGUCUUUUAUAAUUGGUUGGUGAUGCAAUAAUGGGUCAAAUAUUAAUGAAACUCUAUAUAUCUUUCUACAAUGUUAUAUCCAUAAUUCAAUACCUUCAAUAAUCUCAAAUUAGUUUAGAAAAAUAAUUUAAACGCGCUAGUCGCUUUAGGCGCGAUUAAUAAUAAUGAUCGUGACUAUGGGUACGAUUCCUGUGGCAUAGUCAUAAUACCUAAACCCCAACUCGAGUGUGUGUUUCACGUGAAUCAACCAUAACUUCAAACAAUAAUAAAAAUAAACAUGUCGCAAAUUGCGGGUGCAUUUCAUGUGGCGCAGUUUGCAACGUGUACCACAACCACAACACAUCGUGACUUGUUCCAGAAAAUAAUUUCAUAAAUACUAAAAGCAGAUAGAAAGUUAAAAAUGCACGUAGGUUUAAAAUGUAUAAUAAAUCAGAUAAUUAGGCCAAUUAUUAAUAGUUGAGCGACAUUGCUAAAACCACAGUGCUCAGGAGUGCCUCACGCCUUCUCCCGGGUUAAAAGAAUUUCUUACCCAAUUUUCUGUGUUUCGCAGACUAUUAAAUAGAGUCAAAAUUUUCUCAAUUUGGAAUUUAAAAUAAACCAGUGAUUUCGGAAACCAUAUAAUUAUCUCAAGUGGCGACUCUAAAUCAAUAAAUAAUCCCAUUUCGAUAAAUGUCACUUUAAUUUGAAAAACACCCUAUCCCCUCGGGAAAAAAGAGGUUUGACAAAAGGCAUAUUGGCUAUUCUGGUUAUUAUUUCCGUUGUAAUUACCGUAUUUUGUACCCCUUUCACAUGUCCUCCUCCCAAUAGUACAUGUUUAGCUUUUAUCUAUUGUUAUCUUGUUCGUAUACUAUUAUCUGCAUAGGUUAUUUACGUGGGUGUCUUAUCAUAGCCUCGUAACUACUUCAUCGAGGUUAGGCUUGACACUUACAGAGUACAUGGAGUCGGUUGUACUCAUACUACACUCUACACUUCUUGUGCAGUCUUUCAUACUAGCCCUAGCUAUUCAUGAGGCAUAGCAGCUUGGAUUUGCUCAUUGAAGACGCGAGGUAGAUCUGCUGAUGUCCGCAGACCUUGAAGUCCCCUCCUAUUUCCCUUUUACUAUUUCUUUUCAUUCAAAACAGUUGUAUUUAUUUCAGACCCUAUUUGUAGAAAUAUUAUAGCUCGUGAG